AUUAAGUAGGAACGAUGUACGUGAGUAAGUCCCUUGGCCUAGCAUGCUCACAGCAACACUUGAUGAUUGCAUGUAGAUCUAUUUUCUGUCUCAUUGAUGAAUAAAUACCACUUAAAGAUUCAACAACUUUCCCUUCUCGUCUCUCGCCUUGAGCAAAGGGACCUUACAAAAUAAUUUCACUUCCCAACUCAUUUUUUUACCUCCUUGCCACUGAAGACACCUCCAACCCUUCUUGUUAUCACAUGAAUAUAUUAUGCCCGAGCAAUUACACUCUGCGUAUUCUCGGGAAACUGAGUUGAAGCGUAAACAACCAUGGUCUUGUCCUCAUCCGGCCUUUGGGUAUAUUAGAGCUGGAUAUUCCAUUUGCGGCAAGUCAUGCUUCAUCUUAAGGAAGUCAUAAUAGACAGUUGUACGACUCGAAAAUCACAACCUCCUUACUGAAAGCAAUUAAAAAGAAAUUUUAGAACUUUUGGCCAAUCCACAUAUUGCAAUUACAGACCAACGCACACAUGUCUCUCUAUAUAUAGUUGUACACUUAUGAUUCCUCUAGACAAGUAAUGAAAUACUAUCGUUUUUAUUUUACUAAGAAAGUGAUUACUGUAAGGUGAAGAAGUUUAUAAUUCAGUAUAUCAUAUAUGGCUCAGAAGGUAUUUUUUAUAUUUUACAAAUUUGUACAUGUCUUGGUAUCCAUAGUAAAAAGAACAUCAUUGUAGUAUACUAGGCAUGUACCACGUCGAUAAAACGCAAGAAAGAUAUUGACUGUUGGUAUAAAAAGAAUGACAUUAGACCCAAGUGAUGCAUUUUAAAGUCGUAGGGGCCUAGGACCAAAAUUCAACAGUACAAGCUAUUACAUACAUAGUUCAAUAGCUUUCACUUCUCGACUUGAACAGAGAAACCUUCGAAACUUUUCACUUCCCAAAUGAUCACCGAGCCUUGUCAAAAUCCUGACAAUGAAAAAGUAAUAUCUUUCCUUAUAAUCUAUGACCAUAAUGCCAAUACCUCUCUUGCGUAAUACUUAAAACAACUUUUUUCCUAAUGUACCUUUGGGUUCCAUUAGAGUUGUAUGUUCCAUUUGCAUCAAGUCAUGCUUCAUCUCAAGGAAGCCAUAGUAGACGGCUGCACGACUUGGAAAUCACAACCUCCAUACUGAAAGCAAUUAAAAAGAAAUUUUAGAACUCUAAGGCAAUCCCCGUGUUACAAUUACAGACCACACAGUCUGUAAUUGUAACAAAGAGUAGUAAGUAAGACAGCAUCAUACUUUGAACAGCUUGUACCACUCGAUGAUAUACUUUUCCCUCAUGAUCAAUUUCAAUUCCCUCUACUUCUAUAGUGACUACAGAUCUUCGUUAUACUAUUAAGAAAAGUUUCAUUCUUGACAUGGGAUGGUUGAUGCUUACAUAUGAUGUCUUUUGCAAUUGAGAUUUGAAGUUAAACUACGUGAUAAGAGUAUAAGUCACUAAGCAAUGAGAAACCAAUUCAAUACCAGCUACCUUCCAAGAAUUAUAUAACGCAUAACAAUUAGCUACAAGUCUAUAACACAUCUAAUAAUUCUGCCAAUGGAAGUUUACUUUUUCCUAAUACUCCUGUCAUUAUCCGUGAUUAUCUUUUCUAAAACUUAGAUUCUCUAUGGAACAUAAAAAUAAAGCUACGCGUUUGAUGAUGAGCACGAUCUAAUUAUAUUCUGAAAAGAAUAUUAAACGUCAUUAAUAUCAAAGAUAUAUAUCAUUCUAAUGAUCACAGAAAUUUAUGUAUAAAAAGUUCAAAGCAUAAACUUAAUGUUUAUAGUAGGCCGGUAUUGAAGAUGACAAUCAAACCAGAAAUCUUGCAUUAUAGUCUUCAUUGUAACUUUAUUCAUAUAUCGAGUGACUUUUAAAGAUCGUUAACGUUUUCUUACAACAAUGAGAAAAAUUAUGUUUGCGAAAAUUGAUGAUGUGAGUGUAAUACUAAUAUUAGUAAUAGGUAUUUGAAAAUGACAAUUAAAUACGAAAUAAAUAAAGCUAAAUUUUGUGCUAAACUCUCAAAUCAUCCAAUCAAAUGACUUCUAAGUACAUGCAUGACAUGUAUCUUUCAAAAUACUAUGUUUUUUUUAUUUACCUAAUUAUAGUUAAUUAAUAUAUAUUAAAUUUAUGACUUAAAAUAGUAAGUUUUUAAUUAGAUAAUAUUUUUAUCAAUUUCAAUGUCGGCCACGGCAUGUGAUCAAAGCAAAAAAAUUGAAAUUUAUUAUUUAACAACUAUUUGAUAUAAAUAACUAUUUUCAAUUUAUUUCUUUUAAGAAAAAAAUAUCAAAAUGGCAUUUCGAUGAAUAACUAUCUGCAUUUUACAUGUGAUCAAAGCAAAAAAAUUAAAAUGCAGAUAGUUAUUCAGCGACAAAACUGCGAAACUAUCUUUAUUCACUUACACUUAGGUGUCAGACCACAUUCAAGCAACGGUCUAUAAUUACAAAUAUAAAGAUUUCUUUUACAAAUCUAAACAUAUUUCCUUGACUUCACAGAAGCCAUAGAUGAUACACACUGGUCAAAAAGAUAUAACAGAAAAAGAAUAAACUAAAAAUGAAAAGAUACUAAAGAAAUAGAAUAACUUACAUCUAUUGAAGCACCACUUGUUUUAAUCAUUACAGGUUCUCCCAAUCAACAUUUAUGGUGGAAAUAUGAGCAAUUUUUGGUCAGUAGCCGUUGUUUGAGCAAUAGACGC
rnacentral:lncRNA from 1 species